rnacentral:lncRNA from 1 species
AUUUAUAACUAUUGAAAACAUUUGAAUUUUUUUGGUUUUAUUUAAAUAACUCAUUUUUGGCUUUAUAUAUUAUGUUAAAAUUUGAUUCAAGAUUCCUUAUACGUUUUUCUUGUAGUAGUAGUAUACGGUAAUUGGAAACCUCAAAUGUAUCUAUAAACUGUUUUUCGAACACUGCCUCACCUAUAUAUUUUUGUUUAAUUGUGGCUUGUUACAAUUAUUAAAAUAAUUAUGUAGGUAUAUUGAAUUUACGUAUUGCAGAAAAUAAUGAAUACUUAUGGUAAGGUGUUUUUCACUCAAAAUUCUGAUUUAACCCUCCAAUAUUGGUUAGAUAUAAUUUAAGGCGUUUCAUUCAAUGGCAUAAUAUGUUAUUAUUUUUUUUGGGUCAUUCAAUUUUUAUUAGUCAAUUGCAUCAUACUUGCACGCUUUAGAUACGAUAAUUUUUAUACCUGUUUAUUAUUUAAACAAUUUGCUUUUGUUUUUUCUAACAUUACAAGGUUCUUUGGGCAUAAUUGUUUCAAAAUCAAUGUGAAUAUGGUGAGAAAACCUACAUAAUAACUUAUAUUUAUCCUAUACCCGAAAAUGUAAAUAAUAACUACAUACCUACUUGUUAUGAUAAUGUUAGUUAUUAAGAAAUCAUAUUUUUGGGCAACUUGAUGCCUAUGUUAAAAAUAUAAAAGCUUUGCAGAAAAUGGAAAUAGAUUAUUUUUGUAAAUAGAAAUAAUAUGUUAACAUGGUAAAAUCCAUAGGUAUAAAAAUAUUUUUUGUUAUCUGUGGUCAUUGAACCGCAUCGAUGUUAUUAUUUUGUUUUAGCGAGUCGAUUUCUAUAAUUGUUUCGUAUCAUUGAUUAGGUGUUGCCAAAAAUUUGCCAGGAUCACGAACUUGCACUGUUGCUUAUUUACCGUAAAAUAAGUACCUAUACCAUUGGAUGAUAUUAUAUUGAUAUCAUUGAACGAUUCUCUUCAAUGUUAGACUUUAUAAUUGAUAAAAGUGUCCAAUCCCCCUGUCUAACAGUAAAAUUGUAACUAAGGCGUUAUUUUUUUAAGGAGUUUUCUAUUUUAAAAGUGGCUGAAAAUAUAUUUCGCAAUCCCCGUAAAAAAAGGUCUAGGUACGUCACUGACUAGACAGAUCGUCAUUCUUCUUCCAGUGAGUGUGGAUUAUCAAUGGUAUGAGUCUGCUACGAGUGUCAAAUUAUUGAAAUAAAUCCUUUUGUGAUUUUCGUUUUUUUUUUUUUUUUUAUCAACCAUUUUUCUACAAGAAAAAUUGCACCAGUUACAAGUGUAGCUCCUUUUUUGAAAACAGAAAUUAUUAUUAAUAGUUGGUUCAAUGGAGGGUCAUUUUUUCUAAAGUACCUAUCUAUUUUUCAGGGUUAGGUAUGUAUAAAGCAUGUAGGUACCUAGUAUGAUGCGUACGUAUCAAACUACUUGAUUUUAUACGUUUUUUACCGUAUACAAGCUUUUACGUUUUUUUUAUUAUUACUGCACUGAACAAAGGAUAUAGGGUAUAAUUUUUAUACCCACUAAUAAUAACUGUUAAUAUGUUUUUUUAUAGUCAGGCAG